UACGGGGGGAGCAAGCGUUGUUCGGAUUUACUGGGCGUAAAGGGCGCGUAGGCGGCCAGCACAAGUCAGUUGUGAAAUCUCCGAGCUUAACUCGGAAAGGUCAACUGAUACUGUGCGGCUAGAGUGCAGAAGGGGCAACUGGAAUUCUUGGUGUAGCGGUGAAAUGCGUAGAUAUCAAGAGGAACACCUGCGGCGAAGGCGGGUUGCUGGGCUGACACUGACGCUGAAGCGCGAAAGCCAGGGGAGCAAACAGG
rnacentral:rRNA from 1 species